rnacentral:lncRNA from 1 species
UCGGCACCUGUGGCACCUGGUGGCGGAGGGAAAGUUCCAUCGAGUCAGGGUGCCUCGCUCUUGAUGCCUGCAGCUGCUCCCGUCCAUCCGUCUCUUUUCUUCUCCCUUGGACAAAACCCAAACAAAGCAGAACGAAAGCCCAAAAUCAAAAGCCAAGUGGAGCGGUGACGGGACCCGCUGUGUGUGUUCCCCAGGAUGCCUCGGGGCUUGCUCUGAGUUUAAGCCCAAACUUGCCAGGGCAAAUCCAGUCCCCAGCUGUGCCUUCAGGGAUGUCAUGCUUCAAAGCAUUAGUUAAGGGGAACGGGGCCAGAUGGCUUUUUGUCUUUAGUUUUUUUUUAAUUAAUUAAUUUGCACAACUAACCAGGUAGAGAGUUAGAGAACUAACUCUUCUGUUUAAAA